CCGGCGCACGGGUGCGUAACGCGUAUGCAAUCUACCUUUUACAGAGGGAUAGCCCAGAGAAAUUUGGAUUAAUACCUCAUAGUAUAGUACCUUGGCAUCAAGGAACUAUUAAAGUCACAACGGUAAAAGAUGAGCAUGCGUCCCAUUAGCUAGUUGGUAAGGUAACGGCUUACCAAGGCUACGAUGGGUAGGGGUCCUGAGAGGGAGAUCCCCCACACUGGUACUGAGACACGGACCAGACUCCUACGGGAGGCAGCAGUGAGGAAUAUUGGACAAUGGGCGCAAGCCUGAUCCAGCCAUGCCGCGUGCAGGAUGACGGUCCUAUGGAUUGUAAACUGCUUUUAUACAGGAAGAAACACUCCCUCGUGAGGGAGCUUGACGGUACUGUAGGAAUAAGGAUCGGCUAACUCCGUGCCAGCAGCCGCGGUAAUACGGAGGAUCCAAGCGUUAUCCGGAAUCAUUGGGUUUAAAGGGUCCGUAGGCGGCUUAAUAAGUCAGUGGUGAAAGCCCUACGCUUAACGUAGGAACGGCCAUUGAUACUGUUAGGCUUGAAUUAUUAGGAAGUAACUAGAAUAUGUAGUGUAGCGGUGAAAUGCUUAGAGAUUACAUGGAAUACCAAUUGCGAAGGCAGGUUACUACUAAUGGAUUGACGCUGAUGGACGAAAGCGUGGGUAGCGAACAGGAUUAGAUACCCUGGUAGUCCACGCCGUAAACGAUGGAUACUAGCUGUUGGGAGCAAUCUCAGUGGCUAAGCGAAAGUGAUAAGUAUCCCACCUGGGG
rnacentral:rRNA from 1 species